GUGUCAGCCGCCGCGGUAAGACGAACCGUGCAAACGUUGUUCGGAAUCACUGGGCUUAAAGGGCGCGUAGGCGGACUCGCCAGUCUGUGGUGAAAGCCCCCAGCUCAACUGGGGAAGGGCCUUGGAUACUGCGAGUCUGGAGGAGGGUAGGGGCGUCUGGAACGCUGGGUGGAGCGGUGAAAUGCGUUGAUAUCCAGCGGAACUCCGGUGGCGAAGGCGAGGCGCUGGACCCUUUCUGACGCUGAGGCACGAAGGUCAGGGGAGCAAACGGGAUUAGAUACCCCCGUAGUCC
rnacentral:rRNA from 1 species